rnacentral:rRNA from 1 species
GACGAACGCUGGCGGCGUGCCUAAUACAUGCAAGUCGAACGCAUUUUCUUUCACCGUAGCUUGCUACACCGAAAGAAAAUGAGUGGCGAACGGGUGAGUAACACGUGGGUAACCUGCCCAUCAGCGGGGGAUAACACUUGGAAACAGGUGCUAAUACCGCAUUAUUCCAUUUACUGCAUGGUAGAUGGAUGAAAGGCGCUUUUGCGUCACUGAUGGAUGGACCCGCGGUGCAUUAGCUAGUUGGUGGGGUAACGGCCUACCAAGGCUGCGAUGCAUAGCCGACCUGAGAGGGUGAUCGGCCACACUGGGACUGAGACACGGCCCAGACUCCUACGGGAGGCAGCAGUAGGGAAUCUUCGGCAAUGGACGCAAGUCUGACCGAGCAACGCCGCGUGAGUGAAGAAGGUUUUCGGAUCGUAAAACUCUGUUGUUAGAAAAGAACAAGGAUGAGAGUGGAAAGUUCAUCCCUUGACGGUAUCUAACCAGAAAGCCACGGCUAACUACGUG